CCUCACCUCCGUCUCUUUCUCACUCCGGCGGCGUCGUCUGCUGCUGUCCCGCUCACCUCGUCGCCAUCCGCCGCCAUCCUCGCUGCCCGCGCGGCCGAGCGAGGCGAGUUGCGGCGCGGCGCGAAGGGGAGAGGCCGCGCGACGCGAUGGAGCCUCUCGCUCGGUCUCAAGACCCUCCCGCUCGAUUGGAAAGGCCCGAUGGAGGAGGAAGAGGCGGACCGGGAGCGCGGUUGAACGACAAGGACGGCGGCCAUUGAUCGUCGCAGGGGUGACCUGGCGCUGGCCAGCGUGAAGGGACUGGCGGUGCCGAUGGGGAGGCGGCGGCGGUGGACGUCUGGGACUUGACCGGCUCUGUCACCGGCUCUUUGACACCGAGGUGGCUCCGUCUCCACACGGCGGUGGUGGCGGUGACGAGGAGGAGGGAGCCGCAGAUUCCCCCGGAGGGUGACCUGGCGCCGGACACCGUGCAGGGACUGGCGGUGCCGAUGGGGACGAGGCGGUGGUGGUGGUGGUUGACGUCCGGAACUUGACCGGCUCUGCCACCGGCUCGUUGACACCGAGACAGCUGUGGUGGUGGUGGCGUGGUGGCGGCUACAACGCCAACUGGCGUCUGUGCGGCGUGAGUGCAGCAGCAGCAAGAGGCGGCGAUGGGUUCCGGUGCUCGUGGACAACCCUGACGGGUGAAGCUCUACCGGCUACACGACUCCAAUCACCGCUUGCCGCGUGGUGCCACGGAGGUGACGCCGGUGGUGAUGACGACACGGGCGGUGAUGCCGACAACGAUGGCGGCGCCGCCGAUGGAGGUGAUGGAGACUGCCGCUUAUCACUAAGGGGGGCGGGGGGGAGGGAGCCUGUGUUGGCUGAUGAAAUGUAAAAAAUAAAAUAACCUGUCAUGGACUGCCGCUGUGUGAAGCCCUACGGUUUAUUUAUUUCUCUCAUCGCGAUGCUCUGUGACGACCUGCACGUGUGGGUCGCUGCUGCUGCUGCGAGCUCGACUAUCAAUAAAGGUGACACCCACUAAAGCUGGGCCCGACUGCGGUGUCUACUCGGCACCAUCGCACGCACGCGGACACACCGGGCACAACCACCACAUGACUACACGGCCUUGACGGCUCGUCCACUCGCUCGUCCACCUGCCCACCCACUCGUCCACUCUCCCACCCACUCCACUCUCCCACCUGCUCAUCCCCUUGUCCACGAACCCACCCCUUCACCCAUUCAUCCAUUUGGUGGUCACCAACUCAUCCAACCAGCCACUCGCCCAUGCGCCCCUUCGCCCCUUAGGAAAUAAAGGAACACGUUUUAAAGUGUACAGGGCUGCUGCGAAAUACUCAAAAGUUUUAAAUAAAUUUAUUGAGUACGAGCUUU